AGCUGCGUCAGCGUGCUCUUCAGCGGUUUAAUAUGCAGCGUGUUGUUAUUCAUAACCACGUUGCCGCUGGCGUGUACCUGUUCGCCAUCCAGCGGGAUCUCCAGGUUGAGCGUGCUUUUUACAUUGCCCCCAACCUGCAGCUGCUGCAGCGCAGCGCCGAGCGACGAUUUCAGCGGCGUCUCAUUAAAGUAGGCCCCGAUAUCCUCUCCCUGCCCGCUCAGGUCGCCAGCGAUCAGCAGUUUCUCUUUAAGAUAAUCCGGAAUAACGGCCGUGACGUUACGCGCCCCGACCUUGCCCAGGCGCGCCUUAUCGGCGCGCAUCCACAGGCCGUCAUUCACAAAAUCGAGAUCGAUAUCCAGAUUCUGCAGGGCUGGCCAGCCCGGCUGAAAGCGAAACGCGGCGUUGCGCAGCGGCACC
rnacentral:ncRNA from 1 species